UACGUAGGGGGCAAGCGUUGUCCGGAAUCAUUGGGCGUAAAGCGCACGUAGGCGGCCUGUUAAGUCGGGUGUGAAAGCCCUGGGCUCAACCCAGGAAGUGCACUCGAUACUGAUAGGCUUGAAUAUGGAAGAGGGUCGCGGAAUUCCCGGUGUAGAGGUGAAAUUCGUAGAUAUCGGGAGGAACACCAGUGGCGAAGGCGGCGACCUGGGCCAAUAUUGACGCUGAGGUGCGAAAGCGUGGGGAGCAAACAGG
rnacentral:rRNA from 1 species